rnacentral:other from 1 species
GAGCUCCUGGGAUGUUCGACGCCCUGUUUUUUAUCUGAACCUACAUUUGAAUUUUCGGGAUGUCAACAUCGCCGUUCUCAAUGUCGGGCCGCCGAUUGCAGCGGAAGACAGCGAAACGGUUGAGGCAACCCACCUGGCGACUGUUAGGCGUCAGUUUUGCAGGAACGGCACCCCGGGACAUUU